GCGUUGUUCCUGCUCCCCGACACGCUGUGGUGCUACCGGAAACAAAUAACAACAGUCAUGGUGGCGGCGGUGGUCCCCGGGCCGCCCGCCCCGCCGCCUUGCCCACGGGUUCGGCCGGUGCUGAGCGCCCUGGUGGUUGGUCCCGGGCGGGCGGGACGGGGCUGUGCCGGAGGCACGUAGCGGGGACCCGGCCGGUGCUGACAGGAAGGAGCGGGCAGGUGUGUGUGGGAAGGGGUUCCCCGCGGUUGGCUGUGGGGGCACCGGGGCUGCUGCAGGUUGGCCGGACCUCCGUGCCCGAAGCGGGGCUGGGAGGAGGGCAGUGGCAGUGAGGCUGUGCUUUCCGGGGUAGUACCCUUGCAUGGGCACUUCCUAACGACCUCUGCUGAGUUUCAGGUCUUGGAAGUUUUAAAUGUUCCCACUGAAGUCUUGCAUUAAGAGAUAUAGAAUAAUUUUAUAUCUGCGUUAUCUGCUACUGUGAGCAGAAAUUGUGUAGAAGGUUUUGCUUUCCAAGGCUUCUUCAGCCUUCAUAGACAGCCCCUUCUCAGAUGGUGAGAGUUCAGAUCGCCGAUAUGCUGUGCAGAGUGGCAUUUCUGUUACUGGCUGGUUACUCAUCUUCCUAAUGUGCGGCCCGAUAGUUAGAUGUUGCAGUAAACUGAUUUGAAUAACCAUUCGUUUUGUAGGUAAAGCAGCACUUGGCAGCUAGGAAAAGAUGCUCCUUCAGAAAAGUCAUGCCCCUUUUAAUGGGUAUAUCAAGCUUGGUUGCAUUAUUGAUUUCUGUCAUAAAUCUGGCGUUUGUUUACAUGAAAUGACUCAACUACUAAAUGGUCACAGCAAUAUUUUUUCUGAAAUUAACAUGCAACCAUGCUGAACAUCCUGUAUGUAGGUUUUUAGUGCUUGAUAUGUGUUUCGGGAACCUGCAACUGCUGUUUUGCCAGGUGUGGCGAGCUUGUGCCACUGAAGAGUAUUAUCUCUCUAGUUGGUAGCUUGUCAGUGUCUUACAUUAACCCAUCACUGUCAUGUGCAGCCUUCCAGGAGGAGCCUGUAAUAUAAAAUUGCUUAAUACUUUCUAUUAAAAGACAUUAUUUUCAGAUUUUGAUGAUUUUGUCAAGCUUCAGUUCAAGUGGAAGUCUUUCUUGCCCUUUUUAUUUUUUUACAGGUAGAAAUAUCUUAGAGAGAUUCAGCAGCUAUAAGCUGAUCUUUGUUCGUUUUUCUUUUGGAUUGAGUUUAGGCAUGAAAUACAGUUUUUCCCUAUGUAAAAGCAAAUCACUAAAAUCUAUUAAACUAGGGGAUUCAGGCUUGGGGAGAGGGUGUAUAAUUUAGCUUGGGGGUAAAAGCUCCUAGAUGAAAGUUCUUCUUGUAAGAAGUUCCAAAAUUUCCCCAAGCCCUAAAUCUAAGAAAAAAUCCCUCAGAAUUUUUGUGUGCUCAGAGGUUGAUACUGCUGAACAAUGAAAUUAUUAGAAAAACUGGAUUCUAUUGAAUGUGUGAGAGGUUUAAAACUGCAUAGAGCUCUCUGCAGUUGCACCCAUUGUGAGGAGUGAGGGCACCAAGAACGGAUAAACCCACUCUGGUGUUAUAAGUGGUUACCUGCUGGGAAAGCCAUCUCCCUUGAAGUUAUAGGAGCCAAAAGCUUGGUCUGGUAGAAGAUCUUACAGGAAGGAACUAACUGGCAAGAAAGAGUAAGGAAAGGAAGGAGAGAGAAAUUAAAGUUGAAGAGCCAGGGGGUGGAUCGAGUCUCACUUCUAAGCUUCCUUGCUUUGGUAUACAUUUGAGAAACAAAUUCAAAAUCUGGACUGCAUCUGUACAGGUACUGGCAAUCUAAUAUCUAAAAUCCUUAUGUUGCUGAUGACCCAUGGUGUUAACAGUAUGAUUUCUAUGUGGAUGGAAUGAAAAUUUUGUUUCUAUGGAUGUAGGAAGUAAUGCACAAAGUUGUAUUAAAUAAUAAAGUUCUGAGUUUAAGAACAAGAAAUUGGGCAUUGCCAAAAAUUGCCUACCUGUACAGUCUCACAGGCUGUUUUCCCGAAUUCAGAAGUAUUUGUUAGUCUUCAGUUAUAUGGCUGUGGAUGCCACCUUCUCUUCCUCCUUCCUCACUGGACCCCAGCCUCAUUCAGUGCACAGAGCAGAUAAUGCUCAUUGACUAAUUAACUGUGUAGUCCUAUUUAUUGUUAAAGUGGGUCAGUGCCUCAUUCUAAUGUGUGUUACUCUAAUCCUUCUUUGAGUACAGGAUUAUUAAUUUACUUAUAGGUUUUUCUGUGGUAAUCACAAAGGCUCCCCAAAUACCCACUUAUUUUCACAACAUAAGUGAUAGGAAUAUUGAGUGGUGAGGAGAUGAACAGUGAAAAUACAAGAAAUACUCCAGUGUGGAAGUAUUUCAAUAUGAGGGUAUGAAGUGGAAUGAGCAGGUGAUGUCCUCAGAGCUAACUAGGAGAAGUUUCUUGCAUGACAUGUGAUUAAGCUAUUCUGCACCAGACAUGUUUUGGAUACUAACAUCUGACAGGGAUUCCAAAAGUGAUCAGAUAUUCUUGGAAGAAAACUCUGCUUGAGAUUAUUAAAUGUGAAAAAAUCAUCUCUGAAUUGGACUCAUCUUCCCCUACAUAUGGCUGAGGGCCUGCUAGGAAAUCCUGCUUUAUCCUUGCCUCAUGGUUAUGCUUUUGUUCAUGUAUCUGCUGCUGUCCAGUGUCAGAGAUGAGGUGGUGGGCUAAUGUGGCUUUGGCCUGGCUGUGGCUUUUCAUGUUCUUGGGGAAUGAGACUGACUGUGGUGAUGAGCUCUGUCUGCUCUCAGAAAACAGCAUUGCUGCCCACCACCCCCAAAUUACUUGACAUGUGGAGCACAUGUGUUCAAAGUGCCAUUCCUACUUCUUCCCCCAGAGCUGUGAGUGCUCAGCUUUCUGUGUGGUUCACCUUCCAGGUAUAAACUGCCAAAAUCUGCCCAUGUAUGUCCCACAUGUCAGCCCAGUGAGCAGCAGUGUCAGUGGUGCCAGAUCUGAGAAGGCUGUAGAAGGAGCACAGGUGGGGAAAUGACUGAUGCUUGGCAUUUAGGGGAAAAGAUAUGAUUGAUUGAUAGGAUUGUAAG